rnacentral:tRNA from 1 species
GGGCCCGCGGAGGGCGCGGAGACCGCCGAGCCGCUCACGCCGGUCUCGGCCGUGCCGUGGCUCGUGUCCGCGCGGACCCC